rnacentral:rRNA from 1 species
UGGCGGACGGGUGAGUAAUGUCUGGGAAACUGCCUGAUGGAGGGGGAUAACUACUGGAAACGGUAGCUAAUACCGCAUAACGUCGCAAAACCAAAGAGGGGGACCUUAGGGCCUCUUGCCAUCGGAUGUGCCCAGAUGGGAUUAGCUUGUUGGUGGGGUAACGGCUCACCAAGGCGACGAUCCCUAGCUGGUCUGAGAGGAUGACCAGCCACACUGGAACUGAGACACGGUCCAG